rnacentral:lncRNA from 1 species
UGUCUGCUCAUUUGUAUUUUGUGCUCCCACUACAGUUAUCACUUUCAUUACUGUUUUCAGAAUUAAUAGCUCGAUUCUACACAAUGCUGUAUUUAUUUAAUUUUGUUCACUUUAAAAUUCCUGCAUGAGUGCAUAACAUGUUUGGUGUAUAUUUGAUGUUCAAUACAGAUCUACAAAUAAAACAACAUUACAUAUUUUGGUUCACAGUUUAUAUCAUAACUACACCAAUAUUGUAUUCUAAU